UGGACGGACCGCUGGUGUACCGGUUGUGAUGCCAAUCGCAUUGCCGGGUAGCUAUGUCCGGAAAGGAUAACCGCUGAAAGCAUCUAAGCGGGAAACCUGCCUGAAGAUAAGUCUUCCCUGGAAACUUGAUUUCCGCCAAGGGUCGUUCGAGACGAGGACGUUGAUAGGCUGCGUGUGCAGGUGUCGUAAGAUACAUAGCUAAGCAGUACUAAUUGCCCGCCAGGCUUGAUCCCAUGACC
rnacentral:rRNA from 1 species